rnacentral:rRNA from 1 species
GGGUUGUGAGGUUAAGCGACUAAGCGUACACGGUGGAUGCCCUGGCAGUCAGAGGCGAUGAAGGGCGUGCUAAUCUGCGAUAAGCGCCGGUAAGGUGAUAUGAACCGUUAUAACCGGCGAUACCCGAAUGGGGAAACCCAGUGUGACUCGUCACACUAUCAUUAACUGAAUCCAUAGGUUAAUGAGGCGAACCGGGGGAACUGAAACAUCUAAGUACCCCGAGGAAAAGAAAUCAACCGAGAUUCCCCCAGUAGCGGCGAGCGAACGGGGAGGAGCCCAGAGCCUGAAUCAGCAUGUGUGUUAGUGGAAGCGUCUGGAAAGGCGCGCGAUACAGGGUGACAGCCCCGUACACAAAAGCGCAUGUGCUGUGAGCUCGAUGAGUAGGGCGGGACACGUGGUAUCCUGUCUGAAUAUGGGGGGACCAUCCUCCAAGGCUAAAUACUCCUGACUGACCGAUAGUGAACCAGUACCGUGAGGGAAAGGCGAAAAGAACCCCGGCGAGGGGAGUGAAAAAGAACCUGAAACCGUGUACGUACAAGCAGUGGGAGCACCCUUUGGGUGUGACUGCGUACCUUUUGUAUAAUG